CCCUCUGUUUUGUUCCCCUCCUGUGUGUGUUUGUGCGUCUGUCUGGGCGUGGUCCUCCGGUGCGGCUCUGCUGAGGUUUCUACACACCUGUUCCUCAUCUGCUGCUGCAUGUCUCCAGCUCACCUGUUUUCCAUCCACCAAUCAAGGCCCUGCAGUAUAUACACCUGGCUCUUCACUCCACUCUUUGCCAGAUUGUCUGUGUACCGCUGUGGUACAGCAUCUUGGCUGCUGAGUGGCGAUACUAGAGGUUCACUGCUCAAUUCCCUGGUCCCUGAUUACCUCACCUGCUCUGCAAACUAUUCUCUACCCCUGGACCUGUUCUAGCCAGCUGUCUCUCUUUGGCCUACCUACUCCGCUGGACUUAGAACCAGUCUCCGGACCAUUCCUGCUUCCUGGUUCCCUGACUUGGCCUAGCUCACUUAGUUAAUCUCUCCUGGUUGUAAAAUGAACUGAAGUCUUUUUUUUCACUACAUUACCAUCUGUUGAGUUUUGCUUUUGGGUCCAGAUUCCUCUGCUCCUCAUAACACAUACUUUUGAAUAUUAUCCCCAUAUUCUACAAAGAGAGCCCCCUAAAUGUUACACACUGAACUUUUAACUCACCAGAAAAGCACCACUUUUAUCAUCACAUUUACUCCCCAGAUUGACACAUCUUAGCUAUGGUGCCCUUAAGACUUAGUUUCUCUUUUAGUUUUAAGUUGGAUAUUCGACAGAUAUUCACUCAAGAUUUGAGAGGGACCUGGAUGGAGACACAAUGGCAGACCUCUUUGUGUCGUUUUUUUUUUUUUUUUUUUUAGCGUGAACAUCUGCAUUGUGCAUGUGCGUAGUCCACUUGUGGCAGAAAAUGGAAAAGACAAAAUACAACAACUUCAUUCACUGGUUUUUGGUGAAACUGGGUAAUAUUUUAUGGAGAAAAUAUUUUCCGGUUUUCCCUCAGUUUCCUGAUGGACAAAUAGCCUACCAUCCCCAUAGCUCAGUUAGCCGUGCAGCUAGAAGUACAGUAAUCAGUGAGGUCUGGCCCCCAGAAACAUUCUGCUCCAGUGGCUAUCUUUUUUCCAACCUUCAUUCUUGUCUCAUUUGUGGUCUGAUAAAAAGUAAAUUCAAAGUUUACUUUCACCAAAAUCAGUGAAUAAAGUUGUAUUUUUGUACAGAAUGUGGCCCGGCUUGCCUUUUCUGCCACAGGUGGGUUAAAAAAAAUUAUAAUAAAUUGGUCUCAUGUAGCACACCUACUUUGAUUGCUAAUGUGUGAUUAAUUUAUUUUACAAACAUAUUUUUAUAGAAAAUAAUAGCAGUUUUUUUGAGGACUUGAGUGCUGCUUCUAUCUAUUUUAUAGAUGUAUAGAUCCGCAUUUUUUUUCAAUAACCUCCAUCUCAUUUGACCCAGGGACUCCAAACCAGUCCCGAAUAUAUUUGUACGCUGGAAAAACGAGACACACCUCUUUAUUGGAUUUUAGUGCUUCUUCUUUUAUAUAUUAAUAUUUUGUAUGGAAAAUUCAACAUUUUUUUCAAUAGUUUCUAUCUCAUGUGACCCAGGGACUCCAAACUAAUGCCGAAUUGUAUUACUGCGCUGGAAAAAUGAGACACAUUUCAUUUUAUUAAGUUUUAAUGUUUGUUCUAUUUUAUAUGAAUAUUUUUAUGGAAAAUAUUUUUUUUUUCAAUAGUUUCUAUCUCAUGUGACCCAGGGACUCCAAACUAAUGCCGAAUUGUAUUACUGCGCUGGAAAAAUGAGACACAUUUCAUUUGAUUAGAUUUUAGUGCUUGUUCUAUUUUAUAUGAAUAUUUUUAUGGAAAAUAUUUUUUUUUUCAAUUGCUUCCAUGUCAUGUGACCCAUUGACUCCAAAU